rnacentral:ncRNA from 2 species
AGGAACUAAAAUAGCAACCUUCAUAUAUACUCGAAGAUAUGGUUCGAACGUUUCUACCAAAUCACCGUAAAUGAUUUGACUAUGAAGGCAGAUUGAUCAGUA